GACUGCCUAUGAGAGGAGCAUGGUAACCCAAUUAUAUAUUUACCUCCGGGGGGAGAUGUUGGAUGAAGUAUCUCAUGAGGUAAAGAUUUGAGUGCACUUCAUGUGAACCACCGCGUGAGAGUGAGACUCAGCUAGUGUCAAGGCAUGGCUAAAAUUUCGGAUGUAAAGACAUUUAAUAGCCUUAGCGGACUCGGUUGGGAUAACCAUCGAUCAAGGUAUCCUUGAUAAUUGAGUAUGAGAAUGAUUUUUGGCACGAGCCAAGCUUUUCAAGAAAUCAUAAGCCUAGUUGUUUAUUUGGUUGAAAUGGGUUAAAAGGUAAUGAAAUUACAAUAUGAUGACUUAUUUUAAUUCGUCUCCAUUUACUCGCCUUUAGAUAGUUUAGAUGGUGUCUGUUUGCUCAUUGAGAUUUUAU
rnacentral:lncRNA from 1 species